rnacentral:rRNA from 1 species
CCUACGGGUGGCAGCAGUAGGGAAUCUUUCACAAUGGGCGAAAGCCUGAUGGAGCAACGCCGCGUGCAGGAUGAAGGCCUUCGGGUUGUAAACUGCUUUUAUAAGCGAGAAAUAUGAUGGUAACUUAUGAAUAAGGAUCGGCUAACUACGUGCCAGCAGCCGCGGUCAUACGUAGGAUCCGAGCAUUAUCCGGAGUGACUGGGUGUAAAGAGUUGCGUAGGUGGCAUGAUAAGUAGCUAGUGAAAUCUGAUGGCUCAACCAUUCGGACUAUUAGCUAAACUGUUAAGCUCGAGACCGUUAGGGGUAACGGGAAUUUCUAGUGUAGGAGUGAAAUGCGUAGAUAUUAGGAGGAACACCAAUGGCGAAGGCAGGUUACUGGGACGGUACUGACGCUAAGGCACGAAAGCGUGGGGAGCAAACGGGAUUAGAUACCCGAGUAGUC